CCAAAAUAGAAAAUGUGGCAUAUAAACUGGAUCAAGGAGUAGAAGAAAGUAUAAUAUAGGAAAAUGCACAAUUUCAAAUGAAUCUUUCAAUCAAAAAUCAAGAUCACUUGAGCUUAAAUGGAAAUAUAGAACACAUAGAUGAAAGUUGUUGAGUGCGAACCCAAUUUGGAAACUCGUUCUUCUUUUCUUCAUAAUUCCUCAUCUAGAUUCCUGUAGCUUCUCAAAAGUUGGGAACCGCAUAUAAGUGGUGAUGUAUGCUGAAGGUUUGAAAUGCUAGAAGCACACACAGCUCAUUGCUUCUUUUCCUCUUCCCUUCUUAAUCAAAUAAAAAGAUGCUAAAGUUAGAUUACCUCAUCACAUUUUACUCAUCAUGAGUAAUAGAUUCUCCCAAGGUGAGAGGGCAGGGCGUGAUGUGGGAGUUGGGCACUCGUCACAUAUUCGAACCUUUGCUGCAGACAUAUUUAAGGUGAGGCAUGAUAGAUAUUUUGGGCUCUUUACACUUACAGCAGUGAUAAUCUGCUCCCUAUGUAUAUACCUUUAAGCACUUUCUUGUUGCUAGAUUUUCAAAGAAAUACCUUUAACAAUUCAAAAUAUAUAUAAUAGAAUGCUCAUAUUCAUGUCUUAGUUAGUUAAUAGAUUACCCUAUUAAAUUUCAAGAACCCAAAUUCUCAAGAAAUUUUAAUACCUAAAGUUGCUUAUCAUUAACCAAAAGUGAGAUUGUUGUAAAAAGGGAUUCCACCCCAGUACAAGUUGAAGCACAAAAAUAUACAACUAAAUAUCCCCAUUCAACUUUCAACAACUGAAAUCUCAAGCAAUUCAAAGAUACCCAAACAUAAAAUUUCAACAGGAAGAGAGUGACAUAGGACAGAAAAAAUAACUGAAUCCUAGUGCUUUUUAAGCCUCGGGGGUUGCUUCUGAUUUGCUAGUCGAUAAAUCCAGUACACCUACACAAAUUUCAUCACAAUGAAUCAAAUACUCUACCCCACACAGAUUUUCAUCAUACUACUACUACUAAUUGAAAAAGAAUAAGAGAAAGUACCAAAGCGAGGACAUGGGCACCGAUAAGUAUGACCACCAAAAGAGGUACUGUUUCAAGACGGCUCUGUGUUUGUUGCUGAUUCGCCAUUUUCGAAGAGGUGAAUCUAUAGUUCUCUGAAUUUAUUUAUAGUAUCAAACAAUGGGGUGUGCCUGCAUUCGCGGAAAAUGCAAAUUAGUAAAACCCUUCUUUCCCGAUAACUCUAUAGCUUCAUUUUAUAUUGGCAGAAUAGCUAGGAUACACUUGUAUUUGUUUCUAUUUGUUAUCCCGUCCAUUACGC
rnacentral:lncRNA from 1 species